CUAAUCAUGGAUAACUAUGCGGGCUAAACCCAUCAACAGAUCCAAAUCGUCUCCGAAUUCUGAACGUUUUUCAAUACCUACAGCACAACAUUUUAAAGCACAGAUUUUUGUGGACAUGGUCUUUGUCUAAGGAGGAGGUUGUCCUUAUAGUUGAAAGAGAAGGCAUAUAAGCGAACUUCUAUUUGGAAAUACAUUGAUUGAAGAAGUCAAGAGCUGGCAUCGAUUCUGAUUACAUUCGCUAAUAAAAGAAGGCUUCAUUUAACCGAGCUAUAUCUAUGUAUUUAAAAAAUAAACUUAA